CUAACACAUGCAAGUCGAACGGCAGCACAGAGGAGCUUGCUCCUUGGGUGGCGAGUGGCGGACGGGUGAGGAAUACGUCGGAAUCUGCCUAUUUGUGGGGGAUAACGUAGGGAAACUUACGCUAAUACCGCAUACGACCUACGGGUGAAAGCGGAGGACCUUCGGGCUUCGCGCAGAUAGAUGAGCCGACGUCGGAUUAGCUAGUUGGCGGGGUAAAGGCCCACCAAGGCGACGAUCCGUAGCUGGUCUGAGAGGAUGAUCAGCCACACUGGAACUGAGACACGGUCCAGACUCCUACGGGAGGCAGCAGUGGGGAAUAUUGGACAAUGGGCGCAAGCCUGAUCCAGCCAUGCCGCGUGUGUGAAGAAGGCCUUCGGGUUGUAAAGCACUUUUGUCCGGAAAGAAAAGCUUCGGGUUAAUACCCCGAGGUCAUGACGGUACCGGAAGAAUAAGCACCGGCUAACUUCGUGCCAGCAGCCGCGGUAAUACGAAGGGUGCAAGCGUUACUCGGAAUUACUGGGCGUAAAGCGUGCGUAGGUGGUUUGUUAAGUCUGAUGUGAAAGCCCUGGGCUCAACCUGGGAAUGGCAUUGGAAACUGGCUUACUAGAGUGCGGUAGAGGGUAGUGGAAUUCCCGGUGUAGCAGUGAAAUGCGUAGAUAUCGGGAGGAACAUCUGUGGCGAAGGCGACUACCUGGACCAGCACUGACACUGAGGCACGAA
rnacentral:rRNA from 1 species